GAUGAACGCUGGCGGCGUGCCUAAUACAUGCAAGUCGAGCGAACAGACGAGGAGCUUGCUCCUCUGACGUUAGCGGCGGACGGGUGAGUAACACGUGGAUAACCUACCUAUAAGACUGGGAUAACUUCGGGAAACCGGAGCUAAUACCGGAUAAUAUAUUGAACCGCAUGGUUCAAUAGUGAAAGACGGUUUUGCUGUCACUUAUAGAUGGAUCCGCGCCGCAUUAGCUAGUUGGUAAGGUAACGGCUUACCAAGGCGACGAUGCGUAGCCGACCUGAGAGGGUGAGCGGCAGGAUGGGAACUGAGAGACGGUGCAGAGUCGGAGGGGAGGCAGCAGGAGGGAUGAUGGAGGAAUGGGGGAAAGAAGGAUGGAGCUAAGCAGAGUGAGUGAUGAAUGUUUACGGAUCGAAAAACUAGGUGAGUAGGGCAGAAAAUAUGUGUAAGGCACUGUGCAGACCGGGAGGGGGGUGAAGAAGAAAGAGAGGGAUAGCUAGGGG
rnacentral:rRNA from 1 species